rnacentral:rRNA from 1 species
UACGUAGGGUGCAAGCGUUGUCCGGAAUUAUUGGGCGUAAAGAGCGUGUAGGCGGCCCGAUUAGUCCGCUGUGAAAGUCCAGGGCUCAACCCUGGAAUGCCAGUGGAUACUGUCGGGCUAGAGUCCGGAAGGGGCGAGUGGAAUUCCUGGUGUAGCGGUGAAAUGCGCAGAUAUCAGGAGGAACACCAAUGGCGAAGGCAGCUCGCUGGGACGUGACUGACGCUGAGACGCGAAAGCGUGGGGAGCAAACAGG